AUGAAGAGCGGCCAUAGCCCCACCGGAGGUAUCCAUGGGAGGUGUGCGGGGCUUUCUCAAGUGGAUGCGAUUGUAAAACGUGUUCGUUACUAUCCUGAUGGCACAAAGAAGCGUGGAUCAAAAGUCAAAGAUAAAAGGCGUGAUGAGGAUUACCAGUUGGCUCGAGCUUUGGUGGACAUGUAUAACGACCCUCAUAAUCUUUUUGGGGAUCUUGCAUAUGAGGUCAAAGAUUUUCUGCAUGGCAAGCCGCUCUGGGAGGAUUAUUAUAUCCAUUGGACGUACUUUCAUAUGAAUUUCACUGCAAAGACCAAAGGAUCUUAUGGUGUUGACACUGGCAACCUAUUCUUUGCUGAAGUUGCAUAUACGCGAGGAGAUGGUGGACGUGGAUUAACGGUGAACAGUUGUUGUAUACUUGAACCUUCUGAUCAUGGCCUCUGCCAUGGUUGUUGUGGUGAUGUGAAGCACCCCAAUGAUGGUAAUGCAUAUGCUUGUGGUCGGCGGAACAUCUCGUAUCGUUUUCAGAAUGGUGCACCUGAUCUACCUCUGGACUAUUUCGUGGACCGCUAUUACGAGGACACAAGUUCUGAUGAAGAGGUGGAAAGACUGAGAUCUCAGUUCAAGGAUGUUGUUAAGGAGGAACUCAAGCCAUUGCCGAUGCCCCUCGUGGUUUAA
rnacentral:rRNA from 1 species